rnacentral:rRNA from 1 species
GUGCCAGCAGCUGCGGUAAUACGGAGGGUGCAAGCGUUAAUCGGAAUUACUGGGCGUAAAGCGCACGCAGGCGGUCUGACAAGUCGGAUGUGAAAUCCCCGGGCUCAACCCGGGAACUGCAUUCGAAACUGUCAGGCUGGAGUCUUGUAGAGGGGGUAGAAUUCCAGGUGUAGCGGUGAAAUGCGUAGAGAUCUGGAGGAAUACCGGUGGCGAAGGCGGCCCCCUGGACAAAGACUGACGCUCAGGUGCGAAAGCGUGGGAGCAAACAGGAUUAGAUACCCUGGUAGUCCA